GCAACCUACACCGGCAGGUGAGUGCUGUAAGGGAAUUAAACAUUCCUUCAAUAUCCCAGAUUUGAACAGUUAAAUUCUUGACUACAGAAAUACCAACUAUCAUUUCAACUGGUUCCAAGCAGAAAACCAACCUGGGAUAUUGGAACAUUAUAUGAAAAUAUAGUUUAAAAAUCCACUGUGCUAAUACGAGAUUAUGUGCUCCCCUUUAAGAUUGAAAAAAUAGUAGAUGUUGAGUCAUGUUUACACGUAUACACUGUGCUGAUCCAAACGCUAAUUAACGCUGUAGACUGUAUUCAGCCAUUUCUUUCCAUUUUGUGUCAGCUUCCCUCCCCCAGUUUGGGAUCUUAGGAGAAGAGCUGUUGAAAGACAACAUGCUCAUCAACCUACUUUUAAAAACCUCGAAUGACUUUCAGGUAGUUAUGGCCUGAGCCCUUUAAACAAGGUCUUCCUUAAUAACUGUGCUAUUCCAGGCUGCACUGCUUGGCUACAGUGCCCAAAAAGAGGGCCUUUGAAGAUUGGGUUGGUAAAUCUAUGAACUUUCUCCAGUUUAAUUUACUUACUUACAUAACUACCUAUCAAACGUGUGUGUGUGUGUGUGUGUGUGUGUGUGUGUGUGCGCGCGCGCACGUGUGUGUGUGUAUGUGUGUGUGUGUGUAUGUGUGUGUGUGUGUGUGUAUGUGUGUGUGUGUGUGGUCUUUGUAUAUAUGUAUAUAUCCCCAUCCCUAAGUUACCACAGUCCCAGUACCAAAAUAUAUGGGACACGGGCCAACUAUUUCUGUUGUAUCAAAGCAAAAUCUAGAAAUUUCUCUCAUAAAAUCCAUAUAACGCAUUCUCAUGGAGUAGUUCCCUUUCAAGUAGGACGAUCCCAUUGAUCCAGAGUGGGAUGUACUGAUGAGCACUGCACUGAGGAGGCUUCUUCAUUCUUCAGCUGCCAAAUACAUCCAGAAAUAAACCAAAUAUAUUCGCUAGACAUGUUUUGAGAGCGAAGAAAGUCUGUUUCCCUCUAAUUGUAAUCAACGCUGUUCUUGUGUAUCUUGGAACGUCAUCAUUUUGACUUUUUCUUUACAUUUCAUUUAAAUACUUCUACUCAGUUGGCUUAAGUAUGAGGAGGUUUUUUCUGAGAAAACUUAUAAAAGCAACGAAGUGUCUCCAUGUUAGGUCCUAAUUAUGCACACAUGAAUGGAGUUUUCAUAUAAAUGUGAUCGUUAAAGGAUAUUGUUCUCAUUUUCAGAUGUAAUAAUGAGAAUCCUUACUUCUACCCCAAUUACUCAGAAUGGCCACCUAGGUCACUUCUCAAUGUGUUUGAUCUCAGCAACAUAGUUAGAAGAGUAAAAUUAUAUUACCCUUUGAAGUCCAAUCCCUAUUCACUACAAAGUUUAAGUAAAAUUUUAAAUAAAAUAGCAUCCUGGAAAACAAAGCUUGUGAGAUAAAUUCUGAAAUGAAGGGGAGUUCAAAGAGAGGUGACUUUCCAGCUAAGUCUAUUAUUCAAUUAAUAAAAGAAAUAGUCUAAGCCAUCCAUUUGCCGAGUUCUUUAGGUAUUAAAAGUAGUUAUCACGUUAUAGCAUAACAGGUAAAUUACAACAGAGGUUUAAAAUUUUUAUUCAAGUUUAUUCGCUCACCAAUUCCCAAUUAGAAAAUGGACUUCACAUAUAUCGGAGGCAUAAUGAGAGCACAUUUCUAAUGGCUACAUUUGCUCUUCUCUUGGGCUGAAUCCCCUUCUCCAGCUAGUGAAGAAGAACACAGCUAUGAUCCCCUUGUACCCUGAGACGGAAAGCAGUUCCCAUCAGGACAAUUCAUCCUGAGAGCGCUGGCCUCUUUUUAGGUCUGAGAGAAUGGUGGGAAAACUCAUCCUCCCUUUGAAAAGAAAUAAUCUUGACCUAUAUUAACUGAACCUUCAAAUGCCAGAGUCUAAAUCCAAGUUCACAUCCGAGUUUCUUUGAAGAUCGCAUACCGUGUUUAUACAGACUCUAACGCUGUUUACUGUAUUCAGCCAUUUAUGGCAAUUUCUUUCAAUUCUGUCUCAGCUUCCUCCCUCAGUUUGGUGUCUUACUUGGAGAACAUUUAAAUGACAAGGUGCUAAUCAACCUACUUUUCAAAUCAUCAAUGGCAUUUAAAUAGUUUUUGGCCUAAGCCCUAUAAAUGAUCUAGUCCUUAAAUAACUGUACUAUUCCAGGCUGCAUUGUUUGGACCAUGGUGGUCUUAGAGGUGGGUUUAAGAGGGCUCUUGGAGGUAGGGUUGGUAAAUCUAUGACCUUUCUCCAACUUAAUUUAUUUACCCACAUCACUACUUACCUUGUUCACUGGAUUUCAGGAAAACCAGAUACUACUGAAAUUCUGAAAUACCCUCAGAUGCCGAGAACUUACAAAGUCAGAAAUACAAAGUGACAGAUUUAAACUUCGAAGAUGCAAAUGGGAUCCUAGUCAUGCCUAUAACUACAAGAGAGCUGAUUAAUAUUCAUGACCUGGGUCUUCUUAUCUCGAAAUUGAGAUAAUGUCAUUCUAUAUAACAAUAUAAUCAGGUAAUAGAAUAAAUUCUUAAUAUCUUAAAGCCCUUCAGUAGAUGUUGGAUGACUGUACACAUUUAGAAUAUAUUGUAUAAGAUAGGUCAUAUUUGCUUUGAACGUCUCUCACACUGGUGCUAUAAUAGAUAACUCACAUAUCACUGAUUUUCCUAAUUCAUUAAAAUAUCUAUGAUAAAAGGAAAACUGUUAGCACAAAUUCACUGGUACACAGUCAAAGGCACAGAUAAAGACAGUCAGUCAGGAUUCUUUCCAGUAGAUAACAGCAAAACGUCAACAAAAUAAUUCUGUGACUCAGUGCUUCAUUUUAGCAGUUGGACUAAGAAAGGAAAGAGUACCAUAGUUUUGAGAGGCUGGGGAAACGUUUAUACACAAACUGGAAAGCAUAGAUAGGCCUUUCUGUAAAAGGCUAACAUGCACUGUGUAAAGACACUGAAUUGUGAGUCUAAAUCUUUUGAAGCUUUAUCUUCCAUAAUAAGGAUUUUUACUUUGACACUACAGGCAAACCAUUGAUAGCUAAAGACAUUUGAAGAAAAGAGAAAAAGAAAAAAUAUUAACCUCGUCAUAGAGGGAUUUGGCCAUGUGUAUAAUAAGAGUCUGAACCAAACAUUAGGAAGGUCAAAGGUUAAAAUUUGGAGUUUGUAACUAAUAAAUAAAAAAAUCAGAUAUUCUAAGAUGACAUUUCAAAAUGGAAUGCCUUCUCGGUUAGUCAGCACAGAGACUAGGUCUGUAAGUGACAGAAGCCAGUGUGUGACACUAAUCAGCAGAGACACAAGUGAAGUUUUGAGACACAAACAAUUCCCUGGGCUACAGUGUAAAAAAUAGCUCUGAACUCUGGCUGUGCAUCUGAAUUACUUACAGAGCUUUAAACAUUUGCUCAUGCUCGAGGCCUCACCCCAGAGGUUGUGAUCAUGGCUGGGGUUGAGCAUAGCCGGAGCAGAGAAAGAACAGAGGGGGGAAAGGAGCCUCAGGGAACUCCUGGGGCAAGGUAGGAAGAAGAGAUUGAAAAAGAAGCAGAGUUUGCAGAAGUGAAAGGAAAAGCCAGAGAAUGAAAUAUGGCAGAAUCCGAUGCAAAAGCCAAUUUCAAGAGAGCAUGGCGAUAAGCACAAUGACCACUGCUGAAUAGAGAUCUGUGGUGAGAGAUCUAAACAGUGCCUGCUUCCUGUUUAUGUGCAGUCCUGUGAAUGGAUGAGGGCUGGGAAAAUGGCAUCUUCUGUCUGGGACUCAGAUGCACUGACAGCCUAGGAAGCCUACACUGGACCAGAAGCAGAUGGUCUCUGCUGGGUUGAAUGGGAUUGAUUAAACUAAGCUUGGAGUUGCAACCUUCCACAUCCCAUGAAUAUGAUAAAAAAUUAGCCCUCUGCCAGAGAAGAAAAAUGUAACAACAUUCACAGUGAAUAACUGAUUCAUUCAUUCAUUCAACCAGUCAGUCAGAUAUUUCUACAUCCAUUCAUUUAGCAGCCAUUUACUGCAGGCAAUGAAGAUAGCACUUCAAAACAAUCUUGAAGGCACGUGAUAUGUGUUAAUUUGCAUAUAAUUUUAAUCUGUUUCAAAACUGUAGUACAGCAUAUUUAACAUGUAUUUUUGAAGUCCUUGAAAUUCAGUUUGACAGACUUUUUUAAAGCAAAAAGAGUAUUUUUAUUGUGAGCAGUCUAUUUUUCCUCCUCCAAUAUCCCCCACAGUACUUCUUCAAGUGUCUACCUCAUUAGAAUUUAGUUUUGUUAUCCUAAAAGUGUCAGACUAAUGGGUACUUUUAAAAUUAUUACAUUAAUGUUCUUAAUGCAAAUUUCAGCUUUGAAGCCAUUCAUUAACAAAAGAGAAGGCCAGAUCUCUUUAACUAAGCAUGAGCCAUCCUCCCUCUUCUGCAACUACCACUGCUGUUUCUACAAAAGCCUUAAAGGAAACCAAUUAAAUUAAUAUUCUCCUGUAAUACAUGAGCAAAUCCUCACCUCUGUCACUGGCUUCUCUUCUGAUUGUAAGACAUUCCCUGUGUGUUAUAAUUUCAUGCAUCUCUACCACUGAACUGGUUUUCAGAAAACUGUAAGUAAAGAAGGAUAUUGUCGCUGCUAGCAUGGUUUAGUACACAAUGUCACCACAUCUAUAAACACAGAUGGAUCAUGGCUUUAGUUACAGUCUCUACCCAGAUAGCUACAGUUUUCAGUUUUUAUCUAGUUGAAGAGUAGACACAGGAGUCAACCACUGGGAAAGUCAGAAAGCCUCACAGCAGCAGAACCACAGGCAGUAAAAAGAAUGUGCAAGUCAGUAAAAGCAAAAUGAAAGAAAGAAUCUUAAUUUUCAUGAGUUUUUCACACACAUAGGUGGAACUAAGCAGAUGGAGAAAAUAAUUCUGUUUCUAAGAGAAAAGGGGUGUUAUCAAUAUUUAAUCAUUUUUAUAUUACAGCUGUAAGAGGUGGCUUUUGAACUUGUUUGUUAAGAUAACCUUGUUCUUCUGGCUCCUUCUGGAACUUUCUAAUCGGCCCAAUGUGUCUGGGAACCAGAAGGCAGAGUUUACAAGCACCUGGGUAGGUAUGAUGACAGAGUGGAGAGAGGGGGAGACAAUAGCACUGUACGCUGCUUUGGCUCAAUGCACUUGUAUUUAGAGCUCAGAUAGCUAGGAAGAUGCUUCAGUCCCAGGAAGUCUGUCCCUAAAGCAUCAUUCCUCGUUUUCAAUUUUUCAUUGUAUUUAUUUCCUCUUUAUAGUUGUUAAUCAACCCCACUGUCCUUCUACAUCUUUGUUUUCUUCAACAUUAAUGACACAAGAAUUAGUCACAGUAAAUAGGAUGCAGUCUUGACUCAUAUCCACACCUUCCUCAAUAAUCAGUAUUCCAUCGCUAGACUAUCCAUUAAUUAUAUUUAUGUAUUUAGCUACUAGGCUAUAAGUAACAUGAAUAUAUAAAUCAUAAUCUUCAUCUCUGUAUUUAGUGUUACAUGUUAUAAAUUAAAUUCAAAUGUUCAUUUUUUUAUAAAACAAUAAGCAACAAUCCACAAUGGAUUGUUAAGCUUUUUGCCACAAUUGCAUAACUUCGAAAAUGUCAAUUACUCAUGAGUUACAUAAUUCUUUACAAUUGAUAAACAGCACUUCAAAUAGCAGCACAAGACACACAUCAUCCUGUAAAAGAAUUUCAAAGAAAAUGGCAUUUUGUGGCAAAAGAACUGAAAUAAAAAUAAAAACCACAAACAGCUGAAAUACACUCACAGCUGUGACCACUGGUAGUUGUUCCUUCAGAAGGGGAGGGUCCCAAAGGCAAGAGUGAACAGGAAUGGGUGGGGCUGAAGGGAAGAAUUUAUCCACAUGUACUAACUGAUUUUGACCCUAGAGAUAAAGUCAUAAUAUGCAUAGGCCAUUUCAAAUGAGCAACUCCACGGUGACACAGUGAUUUCCUAGAAGGAGACCCUACUGCGUCAAGAUCCCAUUAUUAAUGAAAGGGAUUAGGAGGAAAAAUAUGUUCCCCAUUACACAGCAUGGGACACAUUUAAUGAGCUAUGUUUCCUCUAUUUCCCAUCCCUCAGUAUUCUUCAAUGCCAUCAAUGGGUGUCUCACAUUCAAUUCAGAAUAACUGGAGACAAGUGAUGUAACAAUCCAAGAAACAUGCUUACUGUAUGAAAGUAUAAUGUAUAAAUGAGCUGAAAGGAACUCAUACGAUUUGAACUUUCAGAGUUCAUUCUUAUGCUCCAUCUGUUUUGUUUCCUUGUAAAGUGGUUACUGAUACUAUCGAGAUUGCCACAUUCCCCUGACAUUAACUUCUGGCAUGAGAAUGGUAUAAUUGUUGAAAUUAAUCUGAAAUAUUGGUAUGAUAUUAUUAACAAAAAUGAUAUUUAUUUUCUCAGGUUUUCUCCAAGACUUUGUUUCUAAUCCUGAAUAUCCCAUCUCUUCUGGCUCCCUUGGCUGUGACAAUUUGUCUGAUGGCCUCGAAUUUAAUGACCUUGCCUGCUCUGAGGGGCAUUGGUCAGACAUUUUAUAGAAUAUUCUUUAUUCUGGGCUGUGUCUUAAAUUUUGUUAUAAUCAGACAAGGUUUAUAGGUUUGGGGUAAUCACAGUAGUAAAGUCCAAUUCCCAACACAACAUAUCAAAGAUACGUCUUAUUGUGGUGAGUUAUCACUGUCAGUGUUGACCUGGACAACCUGAUUGGAAUGUGUUGGCUCCACUGGAAGCUCUCUGGCUCCCCUACUACACUGCUCUUCCCAAAGGACACUCAACAUGCAUAUAUAGUACUCAAUGAGCAAUACCAUUGAUAGCAGAGAACCUACGUGAAUAAUUUGAAAUUUUUAUGUGUAAAAAAUUACAUGUAUCACUUAUUUAUUUACCUAGUAGUUUAUUAAUAGCAUAGAACUCUUGAAGAUUUAUUUGCUUUGGAUCAUUCCCAGAGCAUUUAUGUAUUGAUUGAUUGAUUGAUUGAUUGAUUCUGUUUUUCUCUUUAUGGCUAUUAGAAGUAUUUUCAUUUGGUCCCCAUGUCGCUUUUAUAUAUUACAAUUACUAUGGGAUCAUUUGAGCAUUUAACAAAAAAUCCAUGUUACUUGCCCUCCCGUUGUUGCAUGGUACUUCAGGACAACACUAUAUGUCAUGUGAUCCAGGGUAGAAUUAGUCAUUGCUCUUAGGCAGUUCUGAUGCACAAUUAGAAACCACUAUUUGAGAACUAACAAUGCUUAUUUGUUGCUUCCAUAGUGUGGCUCCUUCUAGGGUUACCUUGGCAUUCAGAACAAUGCUGUUUGUAAUUAUAUACUAGAAAGUGAAUGUACAGACAUGGGUAUUUAUGGCCAUCUUUAUCCUUCUAUGUUGAUAUGUAUAUAUCUCCAUCUAUAUUGAACUAAGCAUGAGUUCACAUUGAUGUCCCUGUUGCAAUUUAGUGUCUAGUCUCUUUUCUACUUGUCUCUGUCCUCUCAUACUAUAUUACUUAAGACAUACAAAGUGUACUUCUACACACUUUUCCCAUGAAAAGAACAUGGUUUAAAAAAGGAAAGUGAUUUCCCAAUUGACAGUUCAACCUACAGAAAAAAAGUUCUAUGAAGAUGUUAAUAACAGAAAGUAUGAACAAAGACUUCCUUCCUCAUUAUAAGCACUGCUUAGUCUAAGUUCUCAUAAGUACAGGCCUUAGAUGAGGCUGAAAUGUUCAACCUUCACUCAAUAUUUCUCUUGGGGCAAGUUAUAAUUGGAUGUCACACCUAUUAACUCAACUUCAUCCUCGUAAUUAUUUAAUAAUUUUCCAUGUAUUUCUUUUUUACAACUGCAUUUUGAAUAGCACUAAUAUAUGCAAUGAUAACAUUUUGAGACAUGCGAACUACUUAAAAUUGUAAUUACUGUAUGAUCAUCCCAAAGGAAUCAUUGAAACUAGAGUAACACUUUCAGACCAAUAUAAAAAUAAGUCAUUGCUGUAUUCUGGGUGGCUAAAAAAAUCCAAUGCUUUAGUAAACUUUGUUAUAAAAAUAAAUAUUUUGAGUUUCCAUAAACCUAAAAUCCUCAAAAUGAAAACUGAGUGUGAAUAAUGAAAAUCUAUAUCCAUGUGUACUCAUGGCCUUAUUAAACCAACGUUUCCACCUACUUUUAUGUAAGGAAUGCAAACAAUAUCCACCUAGGAGUUCCAAGAUCACUCAUUCGUGGUACAUCAGCCAGGCAAGGAUUCACUCUUCCUCCCUUCUUUUUUGGGACCUUUUUAGAGUGCGAUAACUUCCCUUGAAUCACUGCAGGUCCACCUGUUUUGUACUCAUCCUCACUUCAAAGCCUCUGUCACAUAAACCUUUUCACAGUCACUCCAAGAGGGCAAGGAUGGCAUAGGAACUAGUCUUAGUUAAACAGAGCUCGUGCUAGUGAGUAUCUCUGUAUUCAUAAAGUAAAUAGCCAGGGUCGUUGCUGAGCAUAGAUUCUACAACUAAGCUAUAUUUCUAACUCCCAAAGCUCCAGUCAAAAUGUAGUAUCAACUUGUAGAUGUAUUUUUGGUAACAUCCGCAACAAAAACAAAAGAAAAACCCAGACAAAAUACUCAAAGCAAAAAGUUGAAGAAGAUGCAUCAGAAAAGCAAGAAUAAUGGUCAACAAGAUACACAAAAGCAGAGCCUGAAAUUCCUUCAGCCUAAUGCCUUAUUUCCAGGAUCAGGUAAGAACAAAGAAAACAUAGCCAAGUCCACUGGAUUACUACAGCAAGAAAUGAAGCUCAGUAAAGAGUCCAAGGUGGGCAGAGUCACGGACUGAGGCUAUAGCUGCAGAAAUGUUUCCAGAGGCCCUAGGAGCAAAGACACACAUACCAGCUAAGUAUUAGUUGGCGAAUACCUGCGGGUAAACUACCCAGGAGGGUAGAAAUCACUGCAUCAGCAGACACUGCCAAGGACACGUAGGAAUAGCUUUUCUUCUCAAGGGGAUGACUGAGAAGUCCUGACUGGUUACUCCCAGACAGUGCACAGCAGGGUCAUGGUUCAGGAGCAGAAGACACUUUAGAUUCAGCCUAAGUGGUUCUCUGGUGCCAAUGUACAAAUUCCUGAACACCUGCAAGGAUUGAACUAGUUCUAAGAAAUGUAGCUAUGUCUCAGAAUAACAAUAAACAAUAUUAAUAGUACUAAAAAUUAAAUCCAGGGACUGGAGAGAUUGCUCAGUCCUUCUGAGCACUGGCUGCUCUUCUAGAGGAACUAGGUUCAAUUUUGUGCACAGAGGGUGGAGUUCAGUCACCUAGAACUCCAGUUCUAGGGGAUCCAACUUCAUCUUCUGGCAGCACUAGGCAAUCAUGUGAUACACAGAUAUCCAUGCAGACAAAACACACGUACACACGAAAUAAAAAAAUAAAAUAAACUAUAUCCAUCAUCCAGUAAGAUAGAAAUAACAAAGUCUGGCACUUAGUAAAAAAUUACCAAGCACACUCAGUGUAAGAAAACUAUGACUUACAAAAAGGACAUAAUUAAGCAAUGUGUACCCACUAAGCACUGGAAACUCAUUAGAAUCAACACUUAAACAGUGAGCAUGGUUAUCCUUUACAAGUUAGAAUCUUAAGAAUAGAAUAUAUUCACAUAAAUGGAUGGAUGGAUAGAUGGAUGGAUAGAUAGAUAGAUAGAUAGAUAGAUAGAUAGAUAGAUAGAUAGAUAGAUAGAUAGAUAGAUGUUCAAUAUUUGAUGUUCAACAGCUAAUGAGGCAAUUUUGAGAGGUGUUUAGAACACUGUGGAUGGGGCCUAGAUAGAAACAAAAGAAGUUUCCUUGGAACAUUAUGCCUGGUCCCCAGUCACUACCUAAAUCUCAGUUUCCUGUCCUUUGUGAGAUAAGUAGCCACUGUCCAUGUUCUGUGUCUUGAUAUUCAGCCUCAUCAUGAAACCAAAAUUAACAUACCCUCAGACUCAAAUCUAAGAAACCAUAUGCCAAAACAAAUAAUAGCAUUCUCUAUUGUUCUGUGUUGUAUUUUUAGCACAGUGGUCAGAUCUCUUCAGAGUCUAGAAAGGAGUCAGAGGAAAACAAAGACAUUGGUCCAGAGAAACAAAAGCAACAAUUGCACCACCCUUCUAACAGUGCAAGUGAGGAGAACUUCCCAGGUGACAUUUUGAAGGAAAGAAGACCACAUAUCCCAACAGAAAAGGUCAUUUAACGUGAAAAUGUGCAUCCCUGCUCUUAGCACCAGCAAGCGAAAAGCCACCCUGAAACCUGGAAAUGGAAGGAGUGUUCUCCAAAGCAAAAAAAUAGAAAGCCCAGAGCUGGCAGCUUUCUUAAUGGUGAGAUACUAACCAUUUUCCUCUUAAAGUAUCCACUCAUGCCUCUUCAGUUCAACAUCUGUAAUGGAGGGUCUAACCAGAGAAUGCAAUAAGAGGAAAUAAAGUCAUUUCA